rnacentral:lncRNA from 10 species
AACCACUCAAAGCCACAGUUUUGCUGGGAUUGACUAAUCACCAGAGACUCCUCUGCUUUUCUUAGCAUGUGCAGCCAAGAAUGAAGCAGAUCAAGGAUCCAGGAAGCCAGAAAAGAAGAAGUGCUCCCAAAAGAACACAUCCUUUUCCAGUUUCAAUUGGUUAAGUUCAAACCAUUUAAAAUCAUUAGCUGAUGUCUCCAGGCAAAUGAGGACUUCUGCAAAGUAGACAAAUUGAUUAUUAUUCACCUAAGGUUAAUUCAUGAGCCCCAGCCAUUGAAGAUGGAAUAAUAGAGAAAAAAAGAAUUUUUCCUCCCCCACAACAGUAUGUCCCCUUGACCUCAAGAAGGAUUGCAGCCCUGCAGACACCUUGAUUCUAGCCCAGUGAGACCAUUUCAGGCAUCUGACCUCCAGAACACUAUGAUAAAAGAAAAUGUCAGUUGCCUUAAGGCACUAUGUUGGGGGUAACUUGCUACAGCAGCAAUAGAAAGCUCACACACAUGAUGUACAAUUUCCAUGGAGCUCUGUUGAUAUACACAGUGGUAUUUUCUGAUCACUUUCCUUUUAAUUCUAAUCUCAAUAUAUUGAACAUUCUAAGGUAAAAGUUUUACAUAGUUCACUCAAACUAUAAUAUAAUGAGAAAACGGGGUUAUAAAGAUGGAGAAAACUAGAAUAAAAGUCAGCCAACUGGGGUUUCAUAUUCCAUCUACAUCAGCAUCCAUGAGAAAACCCAAGGGUCACAAUUUCAAGUCCUGUGGUAGGUAGAUAGUUCAUAAAAUUGUGAGAUGAUUAAUAAAAUUGUGCCAGGGAUACAAGAAGCACAAAAUUUAGUAUACUUUGGUGAAGCCUAAACCUACCUGGUAGAACUGGGUUUUCAAACACCAAGCCAGCAUGAGGGUCUGCUGGCUGCAACCCAACCAUCUAACCCCUGAGACUGAGAGCACAGAUCCAGAGUCUAAAUACUGAAAGCAACAGUCUGAACACAAACUAGCUGCACUGAAAUGUGAAAAGUGCUAUCUGGGAAGACCAGGUUGUGGGGAACUCACAAAAAAGUGAGCAAAAUCUACAUAACCAGCAUGGACUGAGAUCCUAAUGGAAGAGAGUGGGUCCUCUCCAAACAUUCCUAACUCAACACUGAC